GAUGAAGAACGUAGCGAAAUGCGAUAAGUAGUGUGAAUUGCAGAAUUCAGUGAAUCAUCGAAUCUUUGAACGCACAUUGCGCCCGCCAGCACUCUGGCGGGCAUGCCUGUCCGAGCGUCAUUUCAACCCUCAGGGCCCCUUCGGGGGACCUGGCGUUGGGGAUCGGCCCGCCCCCGUGCGGCGCCGUCCCCGAAAUAUAGUGGCGGUCUCGCUGCAGCCUCCCCUGCGUAGUAGCACACCUCGCACUGGAGAGCGGCGCGGCCACGCCGUGAAACCCCCAACUUCUGAAUGUUGACCUCGGAUCAGGUAGGAAUACCCGCUGAACUUAAGCAUAUCAAUAAGCGGAGGA
rnacentral:misc_RNA from 1 species